rnacentral:rRNA from 1 species
AUUGAACGCUGGCGGCAGGCCUUACACAUGCAAGUCGAACGAGUGGCGGACGGGUGAGUAAUGUCUGGGAAACUGCCUGAUGGCGGGGGAUAACUACUGGAAACGGUAGCUAAUACCGCAUACCAUCGGAUGUGCCCAGAUGGGAUUAGCUGGUUGGUGGGGUAACGGCUCACCAAGGCGACGAUCCCUAGCUGGUCUGAGAGGAUGACCAGCCACACUGGAACUGAGACACGGCCCAGACUCCUACGGGAGGCAGCAGUGGGGAAUAUUGGACAAUGGGCGAAAGCCUGAUGCAGCCAUGCCGCGUGUAUGAAGAAGGCCUUCGGGUUGUAAAGUACUUUCGGCGGGGAGGCGGUACCUGCAGAAGAAGCACCGGCUAACUCCGUGCCAGCAGCCGCGGUAAUUC